GAGUAGUUGGUCGUAGGCCCGGAACCAUGUGAGCUACCCUUGGUCAGGUUGAAGUUCAGGUAACACUGAAUGGGGGACCGAACCGACGUACGUUGAAAAGUGAGCGGAUGAACUGAGGGUAGCGGAGAAAUUCCAAUCGAACUUGGAGAUAGCUGGUUCUCUCCGAAAUAGCUUUAGGGCUAGCCUCAAGUGAUGAUUAUUGGAGGUAGAGCACUGUUUGGACGAGGGGCCCCUCUCGGGUUACCGAAUUCAGACAAACUCCGAAUGCCAAUUAAUUUAACUUGGGAGUCAGAACAUGGGUGAUAAGGUCCGUGUUCGAAAGGGAAACAGCCCAGACCACCAGCUAAGGUCCCAAAAUAUAUGUUAAGUGGAAAAGGAUGUGGCGUUGCCCAGACAACUAGGAUGUUGGCUUAGAAGCAGCCAUCAUUUAAAGAGUGCGUAAUAGCUCACUAGUCGAGUGACACUGCGCCGAAAAUGUACCGGGGCUAAACAUAUUACCGAAGCUGUGGAUUGUCCUUUGGACAAUGGUAGGAGAGCGUUCUAAGGGCGUCGAAGCAUGAUCGCAAGGACAUGUGGAGCGCUUAGAAGUGAGAAUGCCGGUGUGAGUAGCGAAAGACGGGUGAGAAUCCCGUCCACCGAUUGACUAAGGUUUCCAGAGGAAGGCUCGUCCGCUCUGGGUUAGUCGGGUCCUAAGCUGAGGCCGACAG
rnacentral:rRNA from 1 species